GAUGAACGCUAGCGGGAGGCUUAAUACAUGCAAGUCGAGCGGUAACUGACCGAUAGCAAUAUUGGUUAGCUAGAGUGGCGCACGGGUGAGUAACACGUAUGCAAUUUACCUUUAACUGGGGGAUAGCCCUCCGAAAGGAGGAUUAAUACCGCAUAAUAUAUUGAAAUGGCAUCAUUUUAAUAUUAAACCUACGGGGGUUAAAGAUGAGCAUGCAUCCGAUUAGCUAGUUGGUGUGGUAACGGCUCACCAAGGCAACGAUCGGUAGGGGGUCUGAGAGGAUGAUCCCCCACACUGGUACUGAGACACGGACCAGACUCCUACGGGAGGCAGCAGUAAGGAAUAUUGGACAAUGGAGGCAACUCUGAUCCAGCCAUGCCGCGUGAAGGAUUAAGGCCCUAUGGGUUAGUAAACUUCUUUUAGACGGGACAAAACCCCUUUACGUGUAAAGGGUUGAUGGUACUGUCAGAAUAAGCAUCGGCUAACUUCGUGCCAGCAGC
rnacentral:rRNA from 1 species